AACCGAUCUGCAGCCAUGGGGGAAGGGUUUGGGGUUGUCUUCUUCCUUCUUUGAUUUCUCCAUGGUUAAGCCACCAAAUCUUCCACCCAAUAUACCAAUCUCAUAGGAAAUCGUCCAAGGAAGCUAUUCCACCCCUCCGUUUGAGCUGAUUUCGUGUGUGGAGAGAGAUACUGGUCAUCUCAUUUUCGUGCACUAUUCAUCCAAGGUGGAAAAAGUGAGUUUUUGAUGGAGCUUGGCUUGGAGGUUGCUUUCUAGGCUUUGGUAAGUUGAUUAAUGGUGUACCUAGGGACUAAAAAGGAAUCAGAAUCUCUUGAAGAUAUAUAAGUAACUUGUGCAACAAGUAAAGGUAUUGGUAAAGCUUCAAGAGGUGCCCAGAUUCCCGGUGAGUCCUCACUAGGCAGGGACGCGACACAUGGCUGAGGCAGUUGACGGAUCGGAUUUUGAGUGGCCGUAGGCUACUACCUUUUGGAAGUAUAUUCAUGUCGUUUUGUAUUUCCGCCUUUGAUGGAACAUGACAUUGAUCCUUUAUUCUGUAUAUGGCCUGUAUAUGUUUUGUACAUGUCUGUCAGUUUGAUGCAUGUACAUUUGAGUAUUCAGGAACGUUAUAUGAAUAUGUAGUAUUCAGAUAUGUAUACGUGUUGGAUUGCAUGCUGUUAGAUAUAGUGGCACUGAGCCAAGUUAUGCAUGCGCCCAUGGAUGGGCAUUUGAUUAUAUUUGUAUAAACUGUUUA